ensembl:lncRNA
CGGGGUACCCUAAUUCAGGUCACUGGAGAUAAUCUUGGUUUACAUAGUCUGUUUGACUUUGUGGAGUCGUUUGGGGCUCGAUAUUGACGUUUCUGUCUUCUUGGUGUGGUUGGACGGCUCAGUCCGCCUCCACUCGUAUCGUGUGCAUCAGAUCCGGUCUGCGCAGCUGGGAGUAGUCUGCCUAAUGCACCUUGCUUGCUGGGCGGUGCCACACCCAGUUAUAUCUGCGUACAGGCAUCCUCUUUCCUGUUCCUGGAGCCGGAGGGCUACAUUAGUAGCAUGGCUUAGCAGGGAUUUGCGUGGUGGUUUUGAGACACUGGCUGUCGAGCUUUCGCUGUCUCCUGUCAUCAGGAGCUGUUGGGCCAGGUGGCUGGUGGCUGACUGAUUUCCCCCGGCGGUGGUGGUCCCUUCACUCCCUGUACAAUAGUGCACUUGGGUGUUUGUCAAUGAUUUUGUUUUGUUCACGUGUGGUGUGGUGCAUUAGGACCCUUCCCUUCUCCCCUCCAGUUCGUCAUCGCUGCCUGAUUGUCAACAUUGUUUUUUCACCUGUCCUGUCAGAGGGUGUGACCAUUUACCUCAAACAUUUCAUCAUUGAUCAUCAUUGGCUCUUCAAGCAGUUAUUUCCUGCAAUCAACCUCUUACCAAAGCAUCAGUUCAUGAUUCAUUACCUUCAUUGUAUAAGGAAAAUUGGUCCGGUUCUGCACAUGUGGUGCAUGCGUUAUGAAGCUAAACAUAAUUUCUUCAAGAAACAACUGAAAUGCUUUAAAAACAUUACGCUAACAUUAGCCAAAAAGCACCAGAGUUGUAUGGCAAUGUAUCAGGAGACCAAUAGCAAGGAGAGAUUAACUUUAGGUUCAGGAAAGACACUGAUGCUUGAUGAGCUCCAAGAACGUCCAGACGUUGCUUCCAAAUUUGGAGCUGUAUUGUCAACAGCCAGUGUGUAUUCUGCCAAGUGGAUAAAACAUCAGGGUACAGAGUACCACUGUGACUUCAUUGUCUGUACUGAGGUGGCAUUUGAUAUAUGCCUGUGUUUUGUAAGAUAAAGACUAUUGUUGUGAAAAAUGAUAUUGUAUUGCUCUGUGGAAAACUGAUGGAAACCCUGUGUUUUGAUGAGCAUUACCAUGCCUUUAAGAUUAGGCUGCAUCCAGACAAAGUUGUAAAGGUGUUGGACAUAAAUGAGCUGCCUUACUUCAAACCAUUUGAUGUUCAAAUGGUGUAUGGAACAUUGGGUUCAUCAUUAUAUGUUGUCCCAUACUGCCAUUUUAUGCAGACCUAAGGUCAGCGUUUUUAUAUUUUCUACCUGAUGAUAUUUUGGCCUGACAGGAAAAUAAAAG